rnacentral:rRNA from 1 species
AGUGAACGCUGGCGGUAGGCCUAACACAUGCAAGUCGAACGGCAGCACAGUAAGAGCUUGCUCUUACGGGUGGCGAGUGGCGGACGGGUGAGGAAUACAUCGGAAUCUACUUUUUCGUGGGGGAUCACGUAGGGAAACUUACGCUAAUACCGCAUACGACCUACGGGUGAAAGCAGGGGAUCUUCGGACCUUGCGCGAUUGAAUGAGCCGAUGUCGGAUUAGCUAGUUGGCGGGGUAAAGGCCCACCAAGGCGACGAUCCGUAGCUGGUCUGAGAGGAUGAUCAGCCACACUGGAACUGAGACACGGUCCAGACUCCUACGGGAGGCAGCAGUGGGGAAUAUUGGACAAUGGGCGCAAGCCUGAUCCAGCCAUACCGCGUGGGCGAAGAAGGCCUUCGGGUUGUAAAGCCCUUUUGUUGGGAAAGAAAAGCAGCAGGUUAAUACCCCGCUGUUCUGACGGUACCCAAAGAAUAAGCACCGGCUAACUUCGUG